rfam:Lupinus angustifolius cultivar Tanjil chromosome LG19, whole genome shotgun sequence.
AGGUGCGACCAUACCAGCACUAAUCCACCGGAUCCCAUCAUAACUCUGCAGUUAAGCGCACUUGUGAGAGAGUAGCACUAGGAUGGGUGACCUCCUGGGAAGUCCUCGUGUUGCACCUC